rnacentral:rRNA from 1 species
AGAGUUUGAUCCUGGCUCAGGAUGAACGCUGGCGGCGUGCCUAACACAUGCAAGUCGAGCGAUUCUCUUCGGAGAAGAGCGGCGGACGGGUGAGUAACGCGUGGGUAACCUGCCCUGUACACACGGAUAACAUACCGAAAGGUAUGCUAAUACGGGAUAACAUAAGAAAUUCGCAUGUUUUUCUUAUCAAAGCUCCGGCGGUACAGGAUGGACCCGCGUCUGAUUAGCUAGUUGGUGAGGUAACGGCUCACCAAGGCGACGAUCAGUAGCCGACCUGAGAGGGUGAUCGGCCACAUUGGAACUGAGACACGGUCCAAACUCCUACGGGAGGCAGCAGUGGGGAAUAUUGCACAAUGGGCGAAAGCCUGAUGCAGCAACGCCGCGUGAGCGAUGAAGGCCUUCGGGUCGUAAAGCUCUGUCCUCAAGGAAGAUAAUGACGGUACUUGAGGAGGAAGCCCCGGCUAACUACGUGCCAGCAGCCGCGGUAAUACGUAGGGGGCUAGCGUUAUCCGGAUUUACUGGGCGUAAAGGGUGCGUAGGCGGUCUUUUAAGUCAGGAGUGAAAGGCUACGGCUCAACCGUAGUAAGCUCUUGAAACUGGAGGACUUGAGUGCAGGAGAGGAGAGUGGAAUUCCUAGUGUAGCGGUGAAAUGCGUAGAUAUUAGGAGGAACACCAGUUGCGAAGGCGGCUCUCUGGACUGUAACUGACACUGAGGCACGAAAGCGUGGGGAGCAAACAGGAUUAGAUACCCUGGUAGUCCACGCCGUAAACG